CUGGGACAACCUCUAAAAAAAAUUUAAAAAUUAAAAGAGGCUGUCUCGUAAAAGUGACCGAUGGGGAAGGACAGCCUUGGCAAAUGCUUCUAAAUAAAAACCAAAAUCAUAUGACGUGAUGACUAUAGUGCUAUAUUUACAUCCAGUUUUCAGCUACUUUACUUAAACUUCACUUCUGCUUUAAUGCAAACAUAACAAAUAAGCUAAUGAAUGCAAUAUAUUAACAACUGAAUCAAUUCCAACACUAUGACUUGUGUCUGUUGGGCCCUUGUAGCUAUAUUUUCCUACCCUUUAGAUUUAUCUUAUGACCUUUGGAGACUACCAGUAUAAAUAACUUACAGGUGUAUAUAUAUAGUAAAAGUAGCUUCAGGUUGGACAAUAAUAUGUCUAGGAUAAGUAAUCUUACUCAACAUACAUCUUGCUGAUUUAUCUCUGUACCUUCCCAGAUGCAAGACUACUGAUGAAAAUUAAAAAAUGAGGUAUAUACGCUCUGCCUUUGUCUUUCCUGGCCACACUACCUGCCAGCAUGAUGCCAUCAGAGGCGGCGUCUCGUCAUCUCAUCGCUCCGUGGCUGCUGGGCUGCCGCCAGUAGCGCCGCACCACCUGCUCCCACCCCUCCCUCUCCUUCCUUCCUACCUCUGGGUGCAAUCUGCCCACCUGCUUCCAUGGGUUCAUCCUCGAGAUCAUCCCCUCGAGGCAGUGAAGACAUUAUCUCAGUGGAGUAAAAAGCUAGAGGUAAAGUGACAGAGCUAGUUUUAAGUGCCUCUCUGAAAACACCACAGAAGCCCUUUGGCUGUUUCUGUCUCUGUCUCUUUUUUUUUUUUGUAUUUAAGCACAGCAAAGUUUUCAGAUUGGAUUAAAAUGAACAGAAGGGGUUUGCAGGUGAGGAGUCGUGGCUCCCUGCUGAAGGCUAGCCCCGUGUUUGUUGUUGGCGUUGUUGUUAUAGUCAUAAUAUUGUGCGUUUAUCUGGAGAUGAUGCUGACGUUCCCGUGGUGACUGAUACUAGACAGCUCUGCUGUUUCAUCAGAUGCCGGUGUAAUCUUUUGGGCAGAAAAUGAAUAAAUGUCUGGAACAAUUUGCCAAUUCA
ensembl:lncRNA